rnacentral:rRNA from 1 species
UACGGAGGGUGCGAGCGUUGUCCGGAAUCACUGGGCGUAAAGAGCGCGCAGGCGGUCGUUCAAGUCGCGUGUGAAAGCCCCCGGCUCAACUGGGGAGGGUCACGCGAUACUGAUCGACUCGAAGGCAGGAGAGGGUAGUGGAAUUCCCGGUGUAGUGGUGAAAUGCGUAGAUAUCGGGAGGAACACCAGUGGCGAAGGCGACUUCCUGGCCUGUUCUUGACGCUGAGGCGCGAAAGCUAGGGUAGCAAACGGG